CCUCCCCGUCUAACACCAGAACCUCCCAGUGACAGUGCAGAGUUCUGGCUCAAGGGGAUAUAUUAUUGUGCAUGUUUCCCUCCCUGCUGGAUUCUGUUCCUCACAGGGCCAGAAUUGUUGCACACAUC